CGUGAUGUUACUCUGUAUGGGCAGAAGCCUGAAGCCUUCUGAUGAGGAUCUGCAGGGUGAUCAUAAAUAAAUGAGAUCUGAAUCUCCAGACCUGUUUUUGUCCUCCACUAAUUUCUCUUGGGUAUUAGCAUGAACUUCUCCACAUUGCUCUGAUGUUUUGUCCUCCUUCUCUUCCCAUGCCAGACCUCCCCCACCCACAGUCCUGUCAUGAGAUCUCAGCUUGAUUUCCAGACUUUGCAUAUUAGAGUUACUGAGAACUAUGCUCACUGAAGAGAAUUGAUAAUGAAAAACACGAUGUGGAAAAAUAAAAUAACAGAGAGGGAUGAUAGCAUAAUGACAUUUAAGAAGAGAUGCACUUUAACACAUGAUGCACUCAGGGAGCAUGAAGAGCCUCUUUGUUGCAGAGAAAAACAAUUAACCUGGCAGUGAUGUUACAAAGAUUAUGG